GAUGAACGCUGGCGGCGUGCCUAAUACAUGCAAGUCGAGCGAACAGACGAGGAGCUUGCUCCUCUGACGUUAGCGGCGGACGGGUGAGUAACACGUGGAUAACCUACCUAUAAGACUGGGAUAACUUCGGGAAACCGGAGCUCAUACCGGAUAAUAUAUUGAACCGCAUGGUUCAAUAGUGAAAGACGGUUUUGCUGUCACUUAUAGAUGGAUCCGCGCCGCAUUAGCUAGUUGGUACGGUAACGGCUUACCAAGGCAACGAUGCGUAGCCGACCUGAGAGGGUGAUCGGCCACACUGGAACUGAGACACGGUCCAGACUCCUACGGGAGGCAGCAGUAGGGAAUCUUCCGCAAUGGGCGAAAGCCUGACGGAGCAACGCCGCGUGAGUGAUGAAGGUCUUCGGAUCGUAAAACUCUGUUAUUAGGGAAGAACAAAUGUGUAAGUAACUAUGCACGUCUUGACGGUACCUAAUCAGAAAGCCACGGCUAACUACGUG
rnacentral:rRNA from 1 species